UGGGGAAUAUUGCACAAUGGGCGCAAGCCUGAUGCAGCCAUGCCGCGUGUAUGAAGAAGGCCUUCGGGUUGUAAAGUACUUUCAGUCGGGAGGAAGGUGGUAAGGUUAAUAACCUUAUCAAUUGACGUUACCGACAGAAGAAGCACCGGCUAACUCCGUGCCAGCAGCCGCGGUAAUACGGAGGGUGCAAGCGUUAAUCGGAAUUACUGGGCGUAAAGCGCACGCAGGCGGUUGAUUGAGUCAGAUGUGAAAUCCCCGGGCUUAACCCGGGAAUUGCAUCUGAUACUGGUCAGCUAGAGUCUUGUAGAGGGGGGUAGAAUUCCAUGUGUAGCGGUGAAAUGCGUAGAGGUGUGGAGGAAUACCGGUGGCGAAGGCGGCCCCCUGGACAAAGACUGACGCUCAGGUGCGAAAGCGUGGGGAGCAAACAGG
rnacentral:rRNA from 1 species